rnacentral:rRNA from 1 species
UGGGGGAUAUUGCGCAAUGGGGGGAAACCCUGACGCAGCAACGCCGCGUGAAGGAUGAAGGUCUUCGGAUUGUAAACUUCUUUUAUUAAGGACGAAGAAUGACGGUACUUAAUGAAUAAGCUCCGGCUAACUACGUGCCAGCAGCCGCGGUAAUACGUAGGGGGCAAGCGUUAUCCGGAUUUACUGGGUGUAAAGGGAGCGCAGGCGGCGAAGCAAGCCAGAGGUGAAAACCCGGGGCUCAACCCCGAGGAUUGCCUUUGGAACUGUUUUGCUUGAGUACUGGAGGGGCAGGCGGAAUUCCUGGUGUAGCGGUGAAAUGCGUAGAUAUCAGGAGGAACACCGGUGGCGAAGGCGGCCUGCUGGACAGUAACUGACGCUGAGGCUCGAAAGCGUGGGGAGCAAACAGGAUUAGAUACCCUGGUAGU